rnacentral:rRNA from 1 species
ACACAUGCAAGUCGAACGGAAUUUACAUGAAGCCUAGCGAUUGUAAAUUUAGUGGCGGACGGGUGAGUAACGCGUGGGUAACCUGCCUUGUACUGGGGGACAACAGUUGGAAACGACUGCUAAUACCGCAUAAGCGCACAGCUUCGCAUGAAGCAGUGUGAAAAACUCCGGUGGUACAAGAUGGACCCGCGUCUGAUUAGCUGGUUGGUGAGGUAACGGCCCACCAAGGCGACGAUCAGUAGCCGGCCUGAGAGGGUGAACGGCCACAUUGGGACUGAGACACGGCCCAAACUCCUACGGGAGGCAGCAGUGGGGAAUAUUGCACAAUGGGGGAAACCCUGAUGCAGCAACGCCGCGUGAGUGAAGAAGUAUUUCGGUAUGUAAAGCUCUAUCAGCAGGAAAGAAAAUGACGGUACCUGACUAAGAAGCCCCGGCUAACUACGUGCCAGCAGCCGCGGUAAUACGUAGGGGGCAAGCGUUAUCCGGAUUUACUGGGUGUAAAGGGAGCGUAGACGGUUUUGCAAGUCUGAAGUGAAAGCCCGGGGCUUAACCCCGGGACUGCUUUGGAAACUGUAGGACUAGAGUGCAGGAGAGGUAAGUGGAAUUCCUAGUGUAGCGGUGAAAUGCGUAGAUAUUAGGAGGAACACCAGUGGCGAAGGCGGCUUACUGGACUGUAACUGACGUUGAGGCUCGAA